AGUGAACGCUGGCGGCGUGCUUAACACAUGCAAGUCGAACGCGAAAAGGUAGCAAUACCUGAGUAGAGUGGCGAACGGGUGAGUAAUGUGUGGGUAAUUUGCCUUUCAGAGGGGGAUAACCUGGCGAAAGCCGGGCUAAUACCGCGUAAUAUCCAAUGUUUACGGACGUUGGAUCAAAGGAUGGGGAAUCCGCCUCGGCGGAACCUAUCGCUGAAAGAUGAGCCCACAUCCUAUCACGCUUGUUGGUGAGGUAAUGGCUCACCAAGGCGACGACGGGUAGCCGGCCUGAGAGGGUGUCCGGCCACACUGGAACUGAGACACGGUCCAGACUCCUACGGGAGGCAGCAGUGGGGAAUUUUUCGCAAUGGGCGAAAGCCUGACGAAGCAACGCCGCGUGGAGGAUGAAGGCCCUAGUGGUCGUAAACUCCUGUCUAGCGGGACGAAAGUCCGCCAUGUGAAUAAUUUGGCGGAUUGACUGUACCGCUGGAGGAAGCUCCGGCCAACUCCGUG
rnacentral:rRNA from 1 species